rnacentral:misc_RNA from 1 species
GUGAAUCAUCGAAUCUUUGAACGCAAAUUGCACUCCCUGGUAUUCCGGGGAGUAUGCCUGUUUGAGGGUCAGUUUAAACAAAAAUCGGUGUGGUUGCUGCCUUUUGUGGUGACGCAUCGGAUUUGGGUCGUCUUGCCUUCGGUUAAGAGACCUAAAAUUUUGCAUGAAUUUUUUUGAAUGUAUUUAAAUGAUCUCAUGUACG